UGAUAGAGGUGCAGUGUUCAAUAGUACCACAGAAUAGAAGCACGGGUAUGCAUACUGUGUGGAAAGGGAACAUUGCCGAAGGAGAUCUUGUUUUCCCGGACAGAUUUCCUGGGCCGUAUGCAGAAUAUGCUGCGGACUGUCACAACCUGUGGAGCGCUAUCA
rnacentral:ncRNA from 1 species